rnacentral:lncRNA from 1 species
AAGGAUCAAGGAUAACCGUUCAAUCAAUGUCGGUUUGAUCCAACGACCCAUAUUCACUUGAAGGGACUAUAAAACCAGACCCCCUGGCCCUUGGAGAUCAUACCUCUUCUACAGAAUCAAAGUUAGGGUUUCAAUUCUUCAUCCAAGUAGAGAGGAUCCCUCUAGUUCUUCUAGUUCUAGUUUCUCUAGUUCUAGUUCUAGUUAGUUCUAGUUGUAAUCUAGAAAAUAGGGAGAGAGAAG